AAGUCGUAACAAGGUUUCCGUAGGUGAACCUGCGGAAGGAUCAUUACCGAAAACAAAAACGGCCCCGCGACGCCGUCACUCUUCGAGUGGCGCUCGCGGGGACGGACCCCUGUGAACGCGUUUCCGUCUUUGGUGUCCACGCACGCCAGCGCGCAGUCCGCUGCGCUGCUGGCCGUGGCCCAAUCUUUUUCAUUUACCCCAUCUCUUCUGAAUGCUGACUGAAGUAAAGUCGAGGUCACUAGCCUCUCGCGAGGCUGCGGCUUUCGGCGUGGUCACAGCACCUCCUUCGGGCGGGCUUGACGACAAUAACUUGUGACAACUUUUAACAACGGAUAUCUUGGUUCAC
rnacentral:misc_RNA from 1 species